rnacentral:lncRNA from 1 species
UCUGGCUGUUCAUAAGGAAGCCAUUAGCCUGGAACAUAUGCUGGGGCUGUGAAAAAUUAACCCCAGCCGUGUCCAGGCUCCAGCAGAUGGGUGCUGCUCUGCACAAGCUGAUGCAUUUGUUACUGACAUCCCGUCCUGAAGCUGAGGGCAGAAGGCUGAAAGCUGGAUAUGCCCUGGAGAUCAGUCUGUCCUGCCUUCCUCGGGGUUUAUCUUCUUAGGCCUUUCAGAGAUGGAUUUACGGGGGGAAAUCAGGAGGAGUGUAAUGCCCCUCAUCUAAAACAAUUUGCCCCAUCUUCAAACUUUCUGAAACAUUUGACUCACAUUCCUGAGUUAUCAAGACUUCUUCAUUCCGCAGAAUUACUGCAUAUGCCGUGGCUCCCUCAUCAGCCGUGACAUGAGAGGCAGACACAAACUUCCAGGGCCACUUGAAAUUCUCCCAUGGCAA